ncrna:unclassified sequences skipping-rope RNA
UUGUUCUGAGGUCGGAAAUGGUUCCCGACACACUCUGAAAGGAGUACCUGAGAUGAUGGAUACACCGCCCAUCCUUAACAG